rnacentral:rRNA from 1 species
CCUACGGGAGGCAGCAGUGGGGAAUAUUGGGCAAUGGGCGCAAGCCUGACCCAGCAAAGCCGCGUGAAGGAAGACGGCUUUCGGGUUGUAAACUUCUUUUAUCAUGGGCGAAGCAAGUGACGGUACCUGAUGAAUAAGCCACGGCUAACUACGUGCCACCAGCCGCGGUAAUACGUAGGUGGCAAUCGUUAUCCGGAUUUACUGGGUGUAAAGGGAGUGUAGGCGGGAUUGCAAGUCAGAUGUGAAAACUAUGGGCUCAACCCAUAGAUUGCAGUUGAUACUGGAAUCCUUGAGUGCUGGAGAGGCAAGCGGAAUUCGGGGUGUAGCGGUGAAAUGCGUAGAUAUACGGAGGAACUCCAGGGGCGAAGGCAGAUUGCUGGACAGUAACUGACGCUGAGGCGCGAAAGCGUGGGGAGCAAACAGGAGUAGAUACCCUUGUGGUC